UAAUUGGACUUGUUACAAGGUUGUUCUAACAAGUCUGAUACAGUCAUGAUAUAACAAGAGUGUUACAAGGUUGACGACACAAGGUUGUAACAAUAUUGUUAUAUCAUGACUGAAUCGGACUUGUUGGAACAACCUUGCAACAAGUCUGAUAA
rnacentral:miRNA from 1 species